rnacentral:rRNA from 1 species
AUUGCCCUAGUAACGGCGAGUGAAGCGGCAACAGCUCAAAUUUGAAAUCUGGCCCUCGGGUCCGAGUUGUAAUUUGUAGAGGAUGCUUUUGGCGCGGUGCCUUCCGAGUUCCCUGGAACGGGACGCCAUAGAGGGUGAGAGCCCCGUCUGGUUGGACACCAAGCCUCUGUAAAGCUCCUUCGACGAGUCGAGUAGUUUGGGAAUGCUGCUCUAAAUGGGAGGUAUAUGUCUUCUAAAGCUAAAUACCGGCCAGAGACCGAUAGCGCACAAGUAGAGUGAUCGAAAGAUGAAAAGCACUUUGAAAAGAGAGUUAAAUAGCACGUGAAAUUGUUGAAAGGGAAGCGCUUAUGACCAGACUUGGGCUUGGUUGAUCAUCCCGCGUUCUCGCGGGUGCACUCUUCCGGCUCAGGCCAGCAUCAGUUCGUCGCGGGGGAUAAAGGCGUCGGGAACGUGGCUCCCUCGGGAGUGUUAUAGCCCUUCGUGCAAUACCCUGCUUCGGACUGAGGACCGCGCUUCGGCAAGGAUGCUGGCGUAAUGGUCAUCAGCGACCCGUCUUGAAACACGGACCAAGGAGUCGUCUUCGUAUGCGAGUGUUCGGGUGUCAAACCCCUACGCGUAAUGAAAGUGAACGCAGGUGAGAGCUUCGGCGCAUCAUCGACCGAUCCUGAUGUUCUCGGAUGGAUUUGAGUAAGAGCAUACGGGGCCGGACCCGAAAGAAGGUGAACUAUGCCUGUAUAGGGUGAAGCCAGAGGAAACUCUGGUGGAGGCUCGCAGCGGUUCUGACGUGCAAAUCGAUCGUCAAAUAUGGGCAUGGGGGCGAAAGACUAAUCGAACCUUCUAGUAGCUGGUUUCCGCCGAAGUUCCCCCUCAG